CCUACGGGCGGCUGCAGUGGGGAAUAUUGCACAAUGGGCGCAAGCCUGAUGCAGCCAUGCCGCGUGUGUGAAGAAGGCCUUCGGGUUGUAAAGCACUUUCAGCGGGGAGGAAGGCGGUGAGGUUAAUAACCUCAUCGAUUGACGUUACCCGCAGAAGACGCACCGGCUAACUCCGUGCCAGCAGCCGCGGUAAUACGGAGGGUGCAAGCGUUAAUCGGAAUUACUGGGCGUAAAGCGCACGCAGGCGGUCUGUCAAGUCGGAUGUGAAAUCCCCGGGCUCAACCUGGGAACUGCAUUCGAAACUGGCAGGCUAGAGUCUUGUAGAGGGGGGUAGAAUUCCAGGGGUAGCGGUGAAAUGCGUAGAGAUCUGGAGGAAUACCGGUGGCGAAGGCGGCCCCCUGGACAAAGACUGACGCUCAGGUGCGAAAGCGUGGGGAGCAAACAGGAUUAGAUACCCGAGUAGUC
rnacentral:rRNA from 1 species